UACGAAGGGGCUAGCGUUGCUCGGAAUGACUGGGCGUAAAGGGCGCGUAGGCGGAGUGCUUUGUCGGGCGUGAAAUUCCAAGGGCUCAACCUUGGGGCUGCGUUCGAGACGGGCAUUCUAGAGUGGAGAAGAGGGUCGUGGAAUUCCCAGUGUAGAGGUGAAAUUCGUAGAUAUUGGGAAGAACACCGGUGGCGAAGGCGGCGACCUGGUCUUUACUGACGCUGAGGCGCGAAAGCGUGGGGAGCAAACAGG
rnacentral:rRNA from 1 species